rnacentral:rRNA from 8 species
AUUGAACGCUGGCGGCAGGCCUAACACAUGCAAGUCGAGCGGAAACGAGUUAUCUGAACCUUCGGGGAACGAUAACGGCGUCGAGCGGCGGACGGGUGAGUAAUGCCUAGGAAAUUGCCCUGAUGUGGGGGAUAACCAUUGGAAACGAUGGCUAAUACCGCAUGAUGCCUACGGGCCAAAGAGGGGGACCUUCGGGCCUCUCGCGUCAGGAUAUGCCUAGGUGGGAUUAGCUAGUUGGUGAGGUAAGGGCUCACCAAGGCGACGAUCCCUAGCUGGUCUGAGAGGAUGAUCAGCCACACUGGAACUGAGACACGGUCCAGACUCCUACGGGAGGCAGCAGUGGGGAAUAUUGCACAAUGGGCGCAAGCCUGAUGCAGCCAUGCCGCGUGUGUGAAGAAGGCCUUCGGGUUGUAAAGCACUUUCAGUCGUGAGGAAGGUGGUGUAGUUAAUAGCUGCAUUAUUUGACGUUAGCGACAGAAGAAGCACCGGCUAACUCCGUGCCAGCAGCCGCGGUAAUACGGAGGGUGCGAGCGUUAAUCGGAAUUACUGGGCGUAAAGCGCAUGCAGGUGGUUUGUUAAGUCAGAUGUGAAAGCCCGGGGCUCAACCUCGGAAUAGCAUUUGAAACUGGCAGACUAGAGUACUGUAGAGGGGGGUAGAAUUUCAGGUGUAGCGGUGAAAUGCGUAGAGAUCUGAAGGAAUACCGGUGGCGAAGGCGGCCCCCUGGACAGAUACUGACACUCAGAUGCGAAAGCGUGGGGAGCAAACAGGAUUAGAUACCCUGGUAGUCCACGCCGUAAACGAUGUCUACUUGGAGGUUGUGGCCUUGAGCCGUGGCUUUCGGAGCUAACGCGUUAAGUAGACCGCCUGGGGAGUACGGUCGCAAGAUUAAAACUCAAAUGAAUUGACGGGGGCCCGCACAAGCGGUGGAGCAUGUGGUUUAAUUCGAUGCAACGCGAAGAACCUUACCUACUCUUGACAUCCAGAGAACUUUCCAGAGAUGGAUUGGUGCCUUCGGGAACUCUGAGACAGGUGCUGCAUGGCUGUCGUCAGCUCGUGUUGUGAAAUGUUGGGUUAAGUCCCGCAACGAGCGCAACCCUUAUCCUUGUUUGCCAGCGAGUAAUGUCGGGAACUCCAGGGAGACUGCCGGUGAUAAACCGGAGGAAGGUGGGGACGACGUCAAGUCAUCAUGGCCCUUACGAGUAGGGCUACACACGUGCUACAAUGGCGCAUACAGAGGGCGGCCAACUUGCGAAAGUGAGCGAAUCCCAAAAAGUGCGUCGUAGUCCGGAUUGGAGUCUGCAACUCGACUCCAUGAAGUCGGAAUCGCUAGUAAUCGUGGAUCAGAAUGCCACGGUGAAUACGUUCCCGGGCCUUGUACACACCGCCCGUCACACCAUGGGAGUGGGCUGCAAAAGAAGUAGGUAGUUUAACCUUCGGGGGGACGCUUACCACUUUGUGGUUCAUGACUGG